UUCCUGCAAACUGGGCGAGGGUCAGUUCGGAGAGGUAUGGAAAGGCUACACGGAGGUCGAGGAAAAAGUGAAAACUGUGGCCGUUAAAAUUUUGAAAGGAAAUACAAUGUCCAAAGAAAAAGAAGAUUUCAAAACAGAAAUGGAGACACUGAAAAAUGUACCGGCGCACAAAAAUAUUGUUCCUUUAAUAGCUACAUCCUCCAAAGAAGACCCUCUGUUUAUCGUGAUGGAGUACCAGACAAUGGGCAGCCUGCAGCGUGUUUUACGGAAUGGCCGGGGAAACACCUACUACA